rnacentral:misc_RNA from 1 species
GUAAAAACACCUCCUUUCUUCAUUCUAUGCAGUGGAGUUGUAAUGAAGUUUCAGACUUGUCGCCCCAAAUGGAUGGGGUUCAAAUCCUACAACUCUAUCCUAGAAACAAAAUGGGGGAAUAAACCAAAGGACUAAAGUUUCAUGUAGAGGCUUUAGCAGCAGCAGAUUUCUUUUUCGAAAUAUCCAUCUUUUUGUCAGAAUCAGUAGCCUUCCUCUUGUCCUUCCUCUCCCUCUUCUUUAGUGCAGUCAACCGGGCCUUCAGCAAAAUUGCAUAAGAUGCUUGGAAACGCUGGUGAUCUUUUGCUCCAACCAUUGUGGAAAUAUUCUUUUUCCCAUCAGUUGCUCGGAUGAGGCACUUAAAUUCAAGAGUUUCACCAGCUGUCUUCAUCUUAUUCCGUUGGGCUUUAGAUUUAUCAGAAGAGUGUUUAAGCGUAACCCAAACGGAACCAUGCUCAGUAGUUCGCUCAAACAUACUCGUCAGUUCAUUGAGGAAUGGGUCUGGC